rnacentral:rRNA from 1 species
GGGCCCGCACAAGCGGUGGAGCAUGUGGUUUAAUUCGAUGAUACGCGAGGAACCUUACCAGGGCUUAAAUGUAGUGGGACAGGUCUAGAGAUAGACCCUUCUUCGGACUCAUUACAAGGUGCUGCAUGGUUGUCGUCAGCUCGUGCCGUGAGGUGUCAGGUUAAGUCCUAUAACGAGCGCAACCCCUAUCGUUAGUUGCCAGCGGGUAAUGCCGGGAACUCUAGCGAAACUGCCGGUUAUAAACCGGAGGAAGGUGGGGAUGACGUCAAGUCAGCAUGCCCCUUACACCCUGGGCUACACACGUACUACAAUGCUACGGACAAAGGGCAGCAAGUUCGCGAGGACAAGCAAAUCCCAUAAACCGUGGCUCAGUUCAGAUCGUAGGCUGCAACUCGCCUACGUGAAGGCGGAAUC